GGAUUUCGUUAGCUGUGACCCACGUGACCAGAGCUGCCCUCUGUCCCUCAGACACAAGUAUUUUAAAAGGAAAGUUUUAUUAUUAAUCAGAGAUGGAGGUAAAUAGAAAACCGGCAUCUGUGUAUUACACAUAGAAAGUCACCAUAAAAAUAAACACAAUGAAUACUCUUCAGCAAAGGGAAUGAAAAAUCUGCAACUACAUACCACUGAACACAAAUGGAAAUCACCAACAACAGGUUGAGGGAGCGAAGCUGAGCCCAGGUUUGGAGGGGCAUUGGAAGGGAAAUGACUUUCUCACUGUGCAAUGCCAGGCUUUGUUCAAGCAUUUGGGGAAACAAUGAGGAGGCAGCUUAUUCCCAGCUCCAG